UACGGAGGGGGCUAGCGUUGUUCGGAAUUACUGGGCGUAAAGCGCACGUAGGCGGCUUUGUAAGUUAGAGGUGAAAGCCCGGGGCUCAACUCCGGAAUUGCCUUUAAGACUGCAUCGCUAGAAUUGUGGAGAGGUAAGUGGAAUUCCCGGUGUAGCGGUGAAAUGCGCAGAUAUCGGGAAGAACACCCGUGGCGAAGGCGGCUCUCUGGGACGGUACUGACGCUGAGACGCGAAAGCGUGGGGAGCGAACAGG
rnacentral:rRNA from 1 species